GCUUGAGUAUUAAGUAGAUUUUCUACAGAUUCUCACCCUUGCCUCCUUUGUGGGGUCAUUCAUUGCUGGACCGAGGACCUGGUGGGUCAACAGAGGAGCCUGCUGACAAUACAGGGGACUUUAACUGGAGAGUGCCUGGAGAAGCAGCCUGAGAAACAGCACUUCAUUUUGUAUCCUUCGCUGAAAUCUGGGGAAGUGGAGACAUGCUUUGACUGCUUGAUGAAUGCAAAGCUUAUCUAAGAGAAGUGCCCACCCAUCUUCUAGGAAUGAAGUGUGGAUCUGGACAUUCAGCACCUAGAUAACCAGAUGGACUCAACUCAACCCUUGGAUUCUAUGAACCUACUGGAGGUCAUCGCCACCUCCACUGCCUUUCUAUCUCUCAUUAGAAAAGUACAGGCUUCUAAGAGAUAAUAACCAAACAUGACAAAAUAAAAUAUAAGGUGAAACAAAAACCAUCACAUCAAAGUUGGUUGCACAAGGCAAACAAACAGAAGGAAAAGAGCCACAAGAACAGGCACAAGAAUCAGAGGAACUCAUUACUCAAAGAGUUUCUUGGAGUAUAUCAACUGCCAGGCACUGGACUAGUUGCUGGCUGUUCCCAGCACAGCCAUCCAGAUGCAUCCCUCACCAUCCUACUCCCGAUUCAUUUAAAGAGACAGAGCUUAACUAUUCUGGAUGAGCCAGGACAUAAAAUUUACUUGGAGACCAUUAUUGGCUGUAAAUGACCAACCAUCUUCUAAUGGAUCAAUCAUAUGGUUUCUCUGUGUGGCUUUCCACCUUUCCUGGAACUCGCUUUGUAGCCCAGGCUGCCUCCUGAGUGCUGGGAUUAAAGGAGUGUGCUACCACCACCUGGCCUGAACACUUUAAAAGGUAAGAAAACGGCAGCUACGGGAGGAGGUUAUGCAACUUUGUUCCGAGUCAUAGGACUUGUAAGUGGCGGUGUCAAUAUUUGAGCUAUGGUUUGCCUCCUCACUCCAAAGUCUAUGCUUGUUCAAACACACCUUCAAAUGACUGCUGUGUCUGUGUAAUCUCUCCCCCAUCACACACACUUUGUCCAUGUACCCUGUGCUCUUUCUUGUGGCCACUUCUCCGAGAUUGUGGCAUGCGUCUGGUGUCUGCCGGUCUGGCUUGAUCUGGUUUCCCCUAGCCUAUCCUAGAUCUCCUUUGCAAAUGCUGUUUCACUUUCUCAUCUUCAUCACUCAUUUUUCCUUGCAUGGUAUUGGACCUGUUUUCAUCCCUUUUGUGUGGGAGGCUGCUAAGCUGACGGUGUACUCCUGAUAGAUAACUGUGUACAUUUCUUCUCAAUUCUCUACUAAAUGAUACCAUAUUGCUACCAUGAAGUCAGCUGUCACAGUAUUUACACAGUGCAGAUAGGUUAACACUACAAAUAGUUUAUUUGAAGCUCCAUAGUUAAAUUUUUCUUUACUUAAUGCUUUUGCACCCCUUGAUUUUUUGUGUGUGACUGAAGAUGAGUAUAAAUAUUUAAAAAUACACCAUUCUAUUUGCCUAUAUGUUUGUUCUUAUGGUGAUAUAAAUAUUAUAUUUUAUAUCCAACUUUUUUUUUCUUUUCUUUUUUUUCUGAGACAGGAUUUCUCUGUGUAACAGAAAUCCAGGACAUAAUUUCUCUCUGUCCUGGAACUCACUCUGUAGACCAGGCUAGCCUUGAGCUCACAGAGAUCCGCCUGCCUCUGCCUCCCGAGUGCUGGGAUUAAAGGCAUGUGCCACCACCGCCCAGCCUUCUAGCAAUUCUUUUCUCCUUGUAGGGAUAAACAGGCUAUUUUAAGAAAUCUAGUUAAAUAUAAGGUUUUUUUUAUCAAAUGUUGGCAAAAUAAGAUAUAUUAUAAAGCGAAAUUUUUAUUUGUUUGUUUGGUUUGGUUUUUGAUUUUUAGAGAAAGGGUUUCUCUAUGUAUCCCUGGCUGGCUUGAACUUGUUCUGUAGACCAGUCUGGCUUCGAACUCAGAGACUAGUCUAGCUCUGUCUCCUGAGUGCUGGGAUUAGAGGCAUGUGCUACCACCACUAGCUCAAAAGAAUCUUUUUUAUUACUCUGUUAUAUAUGUGAAACCCCUCACUGACACGCAAUAGAUCCUUACUUUUCAUUGCAUAUAACAUUGGCUUUUCUCCUAGAAUUUACUGCUUUCCGAGUCUGUAGCUCCAGGUCUAUAUUAAAUUGGAGACAGCUCUUUUAAAACAUGUUAUUUUAUAGAAAAAGUUAUGAAUUAGUAGAAAUAUUUACAUAGGUUGCUCCUGCUAUUUUACAAUCUGAUGAGGCGAAAAAUAUUCCUUAGACACAUAAUUUAUUUUAUAUUAAUUUAUAUGUUUGGGGUUAAAAUUUAUGAGACUAUUGAGAAUUUGAAUACUUAAUUGUUAAUUUUAAUAUGCAAAAAUAUUUUUCUAGUUUUUUUAUUUUAUUUUAAUAAGCAAUAUUCUGUUUUGGAUGGAGAAAUUGCCUUGCAAUAAUGGGGACCUGCGUUUUAUCAUCAGAGCCAAUGUUUUUUGAAAUAUGGAAGUUUGACAUGAUGUCAAGUGAUUGUAAACCUAGUGCUGGGAAACUAGAGAUGGAUCAAUCCCUGGGCCUUACUGGGCAUCUAGCCUAGCCUAUUUGAUGAGUUUAAGUCAGUGAGAGACCCUAUCCUAAAAAUGAAGAUGAUAGGAACUGGAGAGAUAGCUCAACACUUAAGACUACUGGCUGCUCUUCUGGAGGACCUGGGUUCAAUUCCCAGCACCCACAAUCAGCUCACAACUGUCUAUAAUUCCAGUGCCAGGGGAUCCAAUGCCCUCUUCUGGCCUCCUCAGGACCAGGCACAGACAUAGUGAACAGACAUACUUGCAAGCAAAACACCUAUACACGUAAAAUAAUUAAAUAAAAUUAGAAGUAAAAAGGUAGACAUUAUAUGAAGAGCAACACUCAAGAUUGUCCUCUGGUUUCCACAGACAUGCAUACAUAUGUCUGCACACACCUGCGCACACACACACACAUAGACAUGUACAACCCCCAUAUUUACAUAUACAUAAAAAGAAAAACAUGUUUUAUUUCCUAUUCUGUAUCUAAUUAAUUCCGAACAUAACAUGUAAAACAAUAUGACUUUAUGAUCCCAAAGAUUCUAAGUCAGAAGUCCAGGGUGAUUUAUCUGAGUCCUCUGCCUCAAGGUCUUUUACAAAGCUGCAAUGGAGAUGUAGACCAGGCCUAGCAUUUUACAGCCCAUUGUGGGAGGUUUCACCUCUGGUCAAGUGGUUCUAGGGUAUAUAAGAGAGCUGUAUGAGUAAACCAUAGAGUAAGCCAGUAAGCAGCACUCUUCUAUGGUCUGGGCAUCUGUUUAUGCUUUCAGAUUCCUACCGUGAGUUCCUGCUCUGGCUUCCCUCAGGACUUACAAUUUAUAAGGUGAAAUAAAAUCUUUUGUUCGCAAGUUAUGUUUGGUCAUGGUAUUCUAUUACAGCAGUAGAAAUCCAACUAAGAUAGUAUUUCUACAAAUACAGAUUUACAGUGGAAAGAUUGUGUCUGUAUCUCUUCAGACAGUGCUUGAGCAAUGAUGGAUAAGAAAGGUAGGUGAUUGUAAUAAGCAUAUUAUUUUUAAUCACUAUAUGAUCCACAGAAAAGCACUUGAAGUUAAUUAUAGUUCCUAUUUAAGAAUGGGGAUAGUAAGUAUAUACAUAUCAGUAAUCUUUCAGACAUUAAUGUGCAGCAGAAUCACCAAAGAUGCUUGUUAAAAAUGAAAGUCCUAUUUAGUGAACCUGGAGUGGAGCCUUACAUCCAUGUAUAAAUCCAUAAUUUAAUAGACUCCAAGUGAUUCUUGUACCAGUAACAAAUUCACAUACUGCCAAGAGCAUUUAGACAUUUCUAAAUAAGUUCAAUGUCCUUUUAGAAAUUGCAUGCAAUCUCUUCCAUAAAAGGAAGUUAUACAUUCAACGUUAUUUUUCUAGCUAGCAACUGUACUCAGAUCGAAAAAAGAAAAAAAACAGGGCUCCAGAUUCCAUCGUUAUUUUUCUCCUUUUGAACAUGCCUGCUCUAGUCAGGCAGAAAUCAUAGCAUGAUCAGCAGACAUUGCAUUUUUGAUCAGGACAUAGAAGGUAUGCCAGACUACUGCGACCUGGCCUCCGAAACUGCUUAGUACCUAAAGAGAAUGAUAUGCAGGUAGGGCUCUUGCCUAGUAGGUGAGGCCGGGUGAAAACUAGGUAAACCAUACCCUCGUGACCUUGCUUUACUUGUGUGAAAGCAACGUCACUCUUGAUUGGUAAAAAAUUUCUUGGCUUAUCUGUGUGGCUAUGAGACUCAGUUUCUGCUAAUGAGUAUUAAGUGACCUUUCUCCUUUUAUAAAGCAAUUAAAGGUAUUGUAUUUCUUUCCCCCAAGUACAGAGAAAAAUAAACCACCAAGUCUGUCAGUCUAUAUUUCUCACAACAAAUUGAUUGGAUUGAGAAGUGCCUAGAAAAUUGCUAAAAUAGACCUCUGUUUCUACGAAAGUGAAAUUAACAACAGGAAAAUCUCACCCCUCAGGAAGCCAGCAUGGUCCCAUUAGCUGGUGUUGGGACAGAAUAAAAGCAGAGAAACAGUGGUGCUCAUUCUCUCUCCCUCCCCCAACUCGCAGCCCAGCCACCGUGCUGUGAGCUACUCACUCUGUUGUACAACAGCCUCCCCACAAUGAUAGGC